CCUCCUUAUCUCGAAUGCAUGUGUGUGGUUUGUUCUUAACCAAUUAAAAAAAAGAAAGAAAGAAAAACUUGUAUUGUGUUUGGAUGGAGGAAUUUGAAAUAUGAGAUUUGAAUUUGAUAAUAGUAUACAUUUUGUUCAAUUUAUUAGAGUCGUGAAUAUAUGUUAGGCUUAUAAAUAUGGAGCGAAUGUUAUUAAAGCAUGGAUUUGAAAUUAUUUAUUUAGUGGUGUUUUUUUAAAUCGACUCUAACAAGUUCUUAAUAAUUAUAGGGUGUUAUUUAAAAUCCAUAAUUUAUCAAUAAUUUAUAAUAAAAUUAAAUAUAAAUUCCUCUAUUUCAAAUGUUGGUAUCCAAACAUAGCAUUUCAUAAUUUUAUUUUAUUUAGUUCUGAUGGGGAAUUAUUUUGUUGUCCUAGAUGUAUAUGCCUUAUUUUCAAAAUUUAUUUAUAUCUUAAUCCACAAAUUAUCCAUUCCCACAUUUUUACUGAUCUUAUAGGUUUCUCAUGUGAUUCUCCUAUCUUCAGCAAGCUUUAUGUGGAUAAUUUUGGUUCCCAAAUGAGUUAAUUGUUACUAUAUUUUGUUGAACUUUGAAGGUCAUGUUACUUCAAAAAGAAUGCAUUCUAGAUAAUUCUUGUGCUUGCUAUAGUGCAUCUUUGAAAGAUGUAGAUAUCCAUAGGCGACGCAUUUUAAUAGGUAACACUUAACAAAUCCACCCUUUUGCUUUGGUCAAGCAAGCACAACUGUUCCUUGCUAAUGUAAAAUAAUAGAUCAAGUUUCCUGAAUUUGUAUGAAGCAAUCAUUAGUAUCAUACUGUGUAUUAUGCUGACAAGUUCUGUGAGCAAUUAGUCAAUCACAUUGUAUGAGUUGAAUGGAACACUGAACCCUGCUUCAUGAAAAGCAGCCAUCCAAAGGCUCGAUAAGUUCUGAUUUGUUUAGAAGCUAAAAUUUCUUCAAUUUAUUUUUCCUAUUGUUGUGAUUCUCUGGCAAUAAAGAAGGUUAUUAGUUAGAAAUGCUGAAAUUGGUCCCAACCUAGCUUGGCAGUGUUUUGUUAAGUAAAUGACAUACAUCCUGCUGUUGGAAACUUAUGAUUUAGUGCUCUUAUCGUUUUCUGUUAAAAAAUUCGAUAUAUUGCUCUCUUUAUUAUUUGUUGCUUGCCAGGUGUUUUCUUGAACUUAAAAGCAAUUUAUUCUGUACAUUGGAAGCCCUAAGUCCAGUCUAUUUUCUGUUUCUUCUACCGUUGACAGGGAGAUGGGAGGCCAUUUUGGAAACUUGUUGUUUCUGAAGCCACUGGUUGCACUAAUGAUGAUUAUUUUGAAGAAGUCUAUAAGGUAACAUUCCUCUCUCUGUUGGUAUUAUAGUAUUGAAAUAAAUUUACUGAAUGCAUAUAUGUCUAGUUCUUAUUAUUUACAGAUACCAAAAUGCAAUAAAUUUCUCUAAUGAUUACUUCAAUAUUGGAGGCUUUUGUCUCAAGUGCCAAUGGUUGCUUUAUACAGUACUAUGCAAAUGGCGAUGCAUGGCGCCUUCCAGAUGGGGCUUAUGAAACAUUAUUCCUUCUUAAAGAUACUGGAGGUCAUACUCAUCAAGUUUUCUCCUUUUUUCAUGCAUUAAUUCUAGCAACAACCAAUGUCCUGGAAUGAAUCAUUUCUUGUUUUUCUUAACUUGGUGAGUAAUGACACAGUUAAGCUGGCUGUUGUAUCCAAUUUUGACACCCGCUUAAGGAAGCUAUUAAAGGACCUAAAUCUUAUAGAUUUGUUUGAUGCUCUAAUCGUAUCUUCAGAAGUUGGAUAUGAAAAACCAGAUCCAAAUAUAUUUAAAGCUGCUUUAGGUAUGAAAUACAACACAAUCAGUUCUUAUUGACAAAGUGUGGAGGGGCAGGGAAGGGAGGUGAGAAGAGGAGGCAACUAUAAUAUAAGUAUACAAGGCCAAAUUCCCUUAGGGUUCAAUUGGCUAGGCAAGUAUUUAAAUGAAGAGGGAUUUGGAUUUGUAUUUCAAUUGAAGGAUAACAGAAAUACUCCUUCAUUUCAAAUGCACAACUGUCCAGAUGGAUUUGACCCUCACAUUACAAUUAUACCUUGUGGACACAAUGGUAGACUAUUAGUAUGUGGUGCACACCUCAAAAAUUUCCAUUGUUAACUGGGGUCAUAGGCAUGUGCCUAUAGGAAACUCCCAUCAUUCAAUUGGCUUUGUGCAUCCGAUUCCCAUCUCUAUUGGAUAACUAUAAGAAUGUCUAAAGCUAUUUUAUCUUUCAUACUAGUGAAGUUUAAAUGGCAUGCUUGUUAUGAAUAGUUCUGCUUAGACAUACAAUUUGUUCUUUCAUGAUGCUUAACAGUAGUCAAUAUAUAGAUGAAUCAUUCUUUUGUUAUUUCUUUUUAGGGUAAAUUUUUAUAAUAUCCCUGAGGUUUGACAAUAUUAAUAAGUCAGUCCCUGCCUUAUUUAAAUCAAAUGAAAUAGUCCUUAUAAGUUUGUUCCAUUUAUCAAUCAGUCCUGUUAGUUUCUGCCUUUAGAAUGAAUGAAAUGACAAAAUUACCUAUAAUAUAUAUGGAAAAGCCUCUCACAGAAGCAUCUAAACCCACCACUUUCAUUGUCUUCAUAUUCUCUCUCUUCUUUCUCUCUAAUGCCACCCCCCUCCCUCUUUUUUUCCCUUCUUUUUGGUUUCACUGAUUGCUUUGAUCUUCUUUUAUUCUCUCCUUUUGUGCUUUGCUUGGAGAUUGAGAAUAUUGAAGCUACUACAUUCAAGGUGAUAAUUGUGGGAAUUAUUGUAGUGGGAAGAUCCAUAAGAGCAAUAUCUUAUUUUCAUGGUGUUGGGUGUGUAGGCGAGGUCAAGGUUUCCUGCGUUAUUCAAAAUCAGUUUGUUCCUUUCCCAAAUUCCAAUGUCAAUGAUCAAGAGUAAAAGAUGCUUCAUCAGAUCUAAUCUUCUCUAAUCAAUUCUUGUAUUUUAAUUUUUGAUUUUCUAUAAAAUGCAAUGGGUGACAUUAAUUUUUUGCAAAAAUCUUUGGUUUUUCUUGUUAUUACUGGUUAUAAUUUUCUUCCUUGAUAUCUAUUAAGAUUGUGAUUUAUCAAAUCUGAAUGAUUAGUGGCUUUGGUUAUUUGUGGAGGAUUUACUAUUUGUACAAUAUUUAGGAAAUUGUUUGUUAGUUGGUUUCUUAAUUCAAAAUUCAAAGUCCAAGGGUGCGGUACAAGGAGGUUUGGAGGUGCUGGAAAAAGAUGAAGGAGAUGUGAGUUCUUUAUUUAUUUUGUCCUUGCCCCUCAAGGGCAUCUUGGGCAUUAAAAUUAAAUUUAGUAACUUUGACCACCUUUUUGCACAUUGACCAGCGGCAAAGGUAAAAAAUGUAGAUGGAAGAAUUAUAUGGUUAACGGAAUAAAAUAGUUGGGACUAAAUCAUUUGAUGUUUAAAAAGUAGGGACUAAAUCGUCAAUACUGUCAAACCUUAGGGAUGCAAUAGUAAUUUACUCUUCCUUUUAUCUGAGGUGAAGGGAUUGGAGCUACACCAUCUUCAAUCCUUCUUUUUAAAGAAUAAAUAAAUUUAGUACUAACUCCCAUAAUCUCUUAUGCUGCAAAACCUAAUGAAAUUUAUUUUAGAUCAAGUAAAUGUGGAGGCUAGCAAGGCAGUACAUGUUGGAGAUGAUCUCAAGGCAGACAAGGAUGGAGCCAAUGCAAUUGGUAUUGAUUGCUGGUAAGUGCAGCUUAUGAUCUUUAACAAUCACUUGCCGUAGACGUGUAAAACUCUCAUGUAAUUCAAGCUUUGUUUUCAUUCCCAGCGCUAAUCCUACUUUAUGACAGAACGGUUCUUUUUGAUAUAUGAUUCCAUAUACAUUGGUUCACACAAGUCAAUGUAAUAAAUAUCUUACAUUUCAGUUGGGGGUAAUUAAAUUUAUUAGCUUUCUCAAGAACCUCGAAUGUGGACUGUAACAGUUGCUAGUAUCUGAAUAAGCAGGUUAUGGGGAGCAGAUGUCAAGACAUUCACAGAUAUACAAAAUCGCAUCCUUGCCUAAGUAAUUAGGUGUCAACAGUUCUUAGUGCUAAUUCAAGUCUUUGUAAUUCUUGGAUAUAUUUAUGUUUUGGAU
rnacentral:misc_RNA from 1 species